rnacentral:tRNA from 1 species
GGGCACGUAGCCCAACUGGAUAGAGCACCGCGAUUUUACGCGGAUGGACAUGGGUUCAAUUCCCGUCGUGUUCC